rnacentral:rRNA from 1 species
AUACGGGGGGUGCGAGCGUUAUUCGGAAUUACUGGGCGUAAAGAGCGCGUAGGCGGUCUUUUAAGUCAGGUGUGAAAGCCCGGGGCUCAACCCCGGAAGUGCACUUGAAACUAAGAGACUUGAGUAUGGGAGAGGGAAGUGGAAUUCCUGGUGUAGCGGUGAAAUGCGUAGAUAUCAGGAGGAACAUCAGUGGCGAAGGCGACUUCCUGGACCAAUACUGACGCUGAGGCGCGAAGGCGAGGGGAGCAAACAGGAUUAGAUACCCGUGUAGUCC